UGGGUGAUCACAGCUCUCUUCUCACACAGGGCUGAGGUCUCUGGGGAAGGCAGAACUGUGCUCUAGAAGAAAAUGAGAUUGCUGGGUCUUCUCCUGUGCCUGGUGACAGCCCCCCAGGGUGCCCUGUCUCAGGUGCAGCUUAAGGAGUCAGGCCCAGGACUGGUGAAGCCAUCACAGACCCUCUCACUUACUUGCACUGUCUCUGGUUACUCCAUAACCAGUGGUUACUAUUGGAGCUGGAUCCGCCAGAUCCCAGGGAGGGGGCUGGAGUGGAUCGGGUACAUAAGUAGUAGUGGAAGCACUUACUACAGUCCGGCUCUCAAGAGCCGCACCACCAUUUCCAGAGACACGUCCAAGAACCAGUUCUCCCUGCAGCUGAGUUCCAUGACCACCGAAGACACAGCUGUGUAUUACUGUGCAAGAGACACAGUGAGGGGAAGUGAGGGCAUCUCGCACAAAAACCUUUUUGUAGGAAACUGGAGGGCUGGGCUGCAGGGAACGCUCAGAACACCAGGGGGCGCUCACGUAGCAGGCAGCCCAGUGGAAAACAACUCUGAAUCUGGUCAACAGAAUCUGACAUCCCAGGACCACUUUUCUGAGUCCCCUUUUCCUGCAUCAGACCCUGCUUGUGCUGCUGGGGAGAUACUGGUCCAGUGA